GGUCCAGUAACAACCCAGCCCCCAUGAUGGGCAGACCCAGCCUGGGCAGCCCCAGGAAGGGCCAUGGAGCAGUGACGGAUGUCUGGAGGUUCUGGGGUGAGUUCCAGAGGUUCUGUGGAGGUACUGGAGGGUCAGUGACGUCACUGUCAGCCCAGGCCUUUCCCAUCCUCUGGCUGGUUCCAAAGCUUUGCUUUGGGGGGCUCUCAGUGGGGCAGCUUUUACUCCCACUCCAUUCAAGUGGAAACUUAUCCCCUCUCCGGCAGAAAACAGGCGGUUUGGCCAACUUCUGAAUGAUAUCUGAUUCCCUUUAAACACUUGAAGAGCACCACUUCUUACAGAAACACACUUCUGUAGGAGCUAGAGACCUGGAGCAGAGCCAAGGAGCUGGAAUAGGGAUACAGCAUUGCACAGGGAAGGCAGAGAGAGAAGGUUUUCAAGAUACUUUAAGCAGAUCCUCAGCACCCCAGAGGCUGAGGUGCCAGGAAGGGGCUGUUGGGCCCAUGAUAGACAAAGCCACUGGCACUACUGAUUAAGCAGCUCCGGGUUCCUGGGAAGCCCAUGUGAUAUCUUGGAGUCCAAUCAAGAAUAUUUUCCUGAAGCAUUUUGACAUGAUGAGCUCCACACAAGUGAAUGAAGGAACUGCCCAGGCCCAGCUCUAAAAACUCUGCUCUGGAUCUGCUGCUGAUCCACCUAUAGCCAGGCACGAACUCCUGGCAGACAGUGGUGCCACCUUGGGUUUCAGGACACGUGAAGGAACACUGCCCUAAUUCCAUGGUUCUGUGCUGAUUACACAGCCUCAGCCACUUAAUAGUGGAUAAGGAAACAGUUUGAAAACCAGUGGAAAAGAAUGAAGUGUUGAGGCAUCACAACUGCAGCCUCUCCAGCUGUGACUCAGAGCCCCUCUCCACUCAAUUCAAAAUGAGGUCUCUGAAGAAAAAAUUGUGUGGGGUUCCUGCUUGCUCUCUGUAACUGCAGCAAAAUUAAAUCUCCUUCCUGCAACAAACAAAAUCCCUGCAAAGCCUUGUCCGUGGCUAAUGUUACAGCAGCGGUUUAUCUUCUUGCCUGUGUCCCAGGGCAGACUGCUCAGUCUGCAGGACUGACAUUCAUCUUAUCACAGCCAACACAUCUCUGCCAGCCUUAGACCCAGUACUACAAUAUUCUGGAGUUUUUCCUGCCUGCUGAGCACCAACAGGCUCUGCUUGUCACAGGACAGGCAACAACUGGGUGACAGGAACACCCUUUCGAGGUGUACACCACAACCACUGGCCAGCUGUGGUCACAGAAAACCUUCGUGGUCAUAGAGCAACCAUUUAACAAACACCAAAGGCCACAUGUUUAGAAAUGUGGCAUUUACAGGCAGCAGCCCCCCAGCCCUGGGGAUCCCGUGACCCCUCAGAGGCCCCCUGAGGCCCCCCAAGCCUGAGCAGAUGUGUGCCUGAAACGCAUGGCACUCUGGAGCUGCCCAUGGUGUCUGUCCUC